AGGAUGCACACUAUAUAGGUGAAGGGACAGACGAUAUCUCCUCCAAAUACCAGCAGGGAGGGAGAUAAGGGGCACCGAGUCUGCCAUUUUGCCCAGAUAGGUCUCAGGUAACAGCCCCAGGAGAUUGAGAGUGGAGCUACAAGACAUGGAACAGCUAGAACAAGGGGACCUGCUGCCGCCUUACGGCAGUAGUGUUGAUGUUCCAGGAGAGCCUUACAGGGUACAUGUGACAGUGCAGCGCACUUCAGUGACUGUUUGAACACUGUUAAAACAGACCGGUGGCUUAUUAUUUUAACUGAAAGCCAGCCUGACUGCACUUCAUGCAUUUCACCCCCUUCACUUCCCCCAACUCCAUUACAAGUGGAACACUGAGGCUUCCACUUAAAAAGAGCAAAUCAAAGACUGUAGCACUGUGGUAAAUUUGAGGAGUGACCUUCUUCCAAGCAACAACUGUGAGAGAAAGAAAAUGCGGGCUAGACAAAAUGACUUUCAACUUCCAUCUGAGGAUUAUUAGAUGACGAUCCCUUCAAAUGCUGAUAUUUAGCUUGUCAGAUCUGGUGUAAGACCAUUUCAAAGACUCCCAAUCCCUGGGCUAAACAACACUUCCAGCUCUUUACAGUAUAGUAUACAGAAGUCUGGUUCCAAGAAUCACAUCAGAAUCCUUCCCCGGUUCCAGAGCCCUACUGUUAUGCCACUGAGCUGGCUUGAGGAUAUUUUAAAAACAGUGACCAUAGGACAAAGUCAAUGCACAGUUAA